AUUGAACGCUGGCGGCAUGCUUUACACAUGCAAGUCGAACGGUAACAGGUCUUCGGAUGCUGACGAGUGGCGUACGGGUGAGUAAUACACCGGAACGUGCCUAGUAGUGGGGGAUAACUACUCGAAAGAGUAGCUAAUACCGCAUGAGAUCUACGGAUGAAAGCAGGGGACCUUCGGGCCUUGUGCUACUAGAGCGGCUGAUGGCAGAUUAGGUAGUUGGGGGGGUAAAGGUUUACCAAGCCUGCGAUCUGUAACUGGUCUGAGAGGACGAACCGCCACACUGGGACUGAGACACGGCCCAGACUCCUACGGGAGGCAGCAGCGGGGAAUUUUGGACAAUGGGGGAAAGCCUGAUCCAGCAAUGCCGCGUGCAGGAUGAAGGCCCUCGGGUUGUAAAGUGCUUUUGGACGGAACGAAGAGCAGGGAGCUAAUAUCCCCGGGUCAUGACGGUACCGUAAGAAUAAGCACCGGCUAACUACGUG
rnacentral:rRNA from 1 species